rnacentral:sRNA from 2 species
AUGGGCUGCCCAUGGCGGGCAUUUCCUCCCUUGUACUCGGCCCCGCUCGCCCGGCGAGCGGGGCUUUUUUGCGGGAUCG